UCAUACAUGUAACACCCUGACUUUUUCUACCCUUUUAUUGUGUUAUUGAAAGAACCGUCGUUUGUGCACUUAAAAAUUUUUCGACCUUGUUUCUUUUGUCGAGAGAAGAAUUUUACAUUUUGGGCUUAAACCAUUAUCCUUUCCUAACCCAAUUUUCUUUAUUACUUAAAGAGGAAACUUUAUUUUAAGCCCAAAUCAUCUUUUUAUUUCUCUUCAUGAGCCCACUUUAAAUCUGCAGCCCAAUCACUAUUGAAUGCCACUUUUCACUCGUCAACUAUUCUGUUCCACAAAAUCCGGAACAAAUCGGUUUCUAUCUCCCCCCAUGAUCUCAUGAAAUCGGUUUAUACCUAUACAUAUCUCUCCAUGACUCCACAUUUUAUCAGAUCAAUCGAUUCCAGAAAAAAAAUCAGAGAGCUAGAAAUUAGAGAACGAGAUGGCAGGCGCUGUGUUUUGAGAGAGAUUGGAUGGAGGGAGAAGAGAUGACGACGGAGUGGUCCACGGGCUCGGCGACGGCGGAUAACAGCCGGUGAAUACGGAGCCGAAGGCUGUCCGGUUCGGCAACAGCUGCCGCGACUCACGGCGGCGCUGCGAUGCGAGAGAACAGAGAGGGAGCGCGGUUUCAACACAAGCUACACACUCAUUUCAUUGAAUUCCAAAUUUGAGAGAGAGAGAUCCGAGAAGUUUUCAAGUAUCAAUUGAGAAGGCAAACGACGACGAGUCGGCUGGGAGAGCAGCGACAACAGCGGCUGCUCGGCAGCGACGACGCUGACGGGCAGAAGCAACAACGUAACUGGAUGACUCCGGACUGGUGCCGACGGUGGAGUUGUGACAGAAGCGACGACUGCGUGGUCAAAAGCCGAGAAUUAGAAUCGAGUUGGCGGCGGUGGUGCUGGGUUUUGCCGGCGACAACCAGCGAAGGAGAAGUGAGAUUGGAGUCAGCAGUGGCUGAUAGUGACAGAUUGUGCUGCCGCAGCAAGCAACGGAGACAGAGGAGAGACCGAGAGGGGAAAACGGAGAGAUAUAGAAGAGUGAGCAGAGAGAGAGAGAAAGAAGAUAGGCGAAGGUAGAGCUGAGCAUGUCGAGCUCAUCGCCGAUGAAUUUGACGGAGGCAGACCGUGGACGAAGAUGAGUCGGUGAGAGUAGGAGGCGGCGCUGCAGCUGGAAAGGAGAAAAAGAAGAAGAAAUUUGGGGACUUCAGAUCCUAUUUGGGAUUUCACGUAAGGAGAUGGCUGGAGUACAUUAAAUCAAUGGACAUUUUUUUACGCA